CGUUUGACGUUAGCGACAGAAGAAAGCACCGGCUAACUCCGUGCCAGCAGCCGCGGUAAUACGGAGGGUGCGAGCGUUAAUCGGAAUUACUGGGCGUAAAGCGCAUGCAGGUGGUUUGUUAAGUCAGAUGUGAAAGACCCGGGGCGUCAACCUCGGAAUAGCAUUUGUAAACUAGGCAGACUAGAGUACUGUAGAGGGGGGUAGGAAUUUCAGGUGUAGCGGUGAAAUAGCGUAGAGAUCUGAAGGAAUACCGGUGGCGAAGGCGGCCCCCUCGGACAGAUACUGACACUCAGAUGCGAAAGCGUGGGGAGCAAACAGGAUUAGAUACCCUGGUAG
rnacentral:rRNA from 1 species